CUGCCAUCUGUCUGAGGUCCACAAAGAGGAAAUGACUGACAUCUGCAAAGGUCAGAAGGGUGGCGCUUCCUUCAUAAGGAUGGCCUUUACUCAACUGUCCGGGCUCUAUUACUCAAAGGAGCUGGGAAGUGCAAAGGUGGAAUCUUUGCUGUCACAGCGGGGACCGGUGCCACAUUAACCUGUGGAAACUUUGCUGUCACAGUGAAACAGAAGAAUCCUUCCUGAAAACAUCAUGGUGACUUGACGGCUCGAGUGCCAUGAUGGAGGGAGGGGGUUCCAGCUGAAGGCUGUUGCUGUCUCUUGGGUCAACAUGGCCAUCCUUGCAAAGAUGCUGGUGUUUGUCCAGCAGGGGCUGCCUCGGGUCGUGAUGUGGACAUGGUGUCGUCUCGACAAGGUUCCUGGUUCUGAGAGUGGUGGUUGAAGCUUCUCUGGACAUUUGGACUGAGUUGCAGGCAAAUGAGUUGCCGGUUCUGAGUGGUGAUUGAAACUUCUUUGGACACCUGGACUGUGAUACAGGAACCUAUGCACCACUUGGCUUCGCUGGGCUGUUGGAACGGCGAUGUUGGGAUUGGGCUUCUGGUAAUGAUGGCCACUUCAAUCAGAAGAUGUCUUUCUCAGCUGGUGUUUCACCUUCUGUGGACCCGGUCUGGCACUUAGAACCUCAUGCGAGGGGAACAGCUGUGCUGAUGGAGCAGGAAGUCUUGCCAAGUGUCAGAACUGUUUAUCAUCUUUUUUGUGUAUAUCCAAAAAGUGUUUGUUUUUUUUGGGACAAGAGAAUAACCAUGUUUUUGCCUUAAUGUUUAAAGGUAUGAAGACAUAGUUUUCAGUUAUAAUUGCAUAAAUUGUCUAUUUCAAAUAAAAAUGCUCAUCUGCCU